rnacentral:lncRNA from 1 species
CUGUAGGUGCUUUAUUUGAUACACGCAACUAUUAAGUUUGUAAAUUGCUCAGAAACUACUGCCAAAUAACCCUUUACCUUCCCUCAACCAGCAGAGCAAGGAGGCAUGGAUUGAACUCCAAGUGUGUGCGCACUGGUCCCAAAAUCACAGGGAUUUCUGAAAAGAAGCCAGCGGCAGCAGUCAGAAGACAGCCUGAGCACCCUGAAAUGCUGAGUCCACGCUGGUUCAGCAUCAGUUGACUCCCAGUCUCCAUGAUCACUUUCCGGUUUGAGAGCGAAGAAAAAAAGAAAGCAGGUGUAGGACAUGACAAGGGAUCCCAUGGACCCACGCUAUGCUCAGACGCCUGACCCCUCUCUCACGUGUCAGGAGAAAUAACUGUGCAAGGUAAGAGGUUCAUGGAACUUAUUGAAAAUGGGCUGGU